UACAGAGGGUGCGAGCGUUGUUCGGAAUUACUGGGCGUAAAGCGCGCGCAGGCGGCUUCCUAAGUCCGUCGGUGAAAGACCGGGGCUCAACCCCGUGUCAGCCAUGGAUACUGGGGGGGCUGGAGACAGGUAGAGGCAAGCGGAAUUCCGGGUGUAGCGGUGGAAUGCGUAGAGAUCCGGAAGAACACCGGAGGCGAAGGCGGCUUGCUGGACCUGGUCUGACGCUGAGGCGCGAAAGCGUGGGGGAGCAAACAGG
rnacentral:rRNA from 1 species